UCUUUGUAUGAUUAGUAGAGAAUUCAUUUCCAAAAUAAUAUUUCAAACAACAAUUGAACAAUAUUGUUACCAUGGAAAUACUCGUUUAAAAAUUAAUUCUAAAUUCAAGGUUGAGGCAAUAAACAUCAUUAAACCUAGUGUUCCCUUUUAAGCUAUAAAAACAAGCCAAGCCUUCUAUACUUUACACAUGGUAUGGAGUGAUGGUCAGCCACAAAGGAGAUAUAGACAUGUCAACAGUUCUACCCAAUCUGUAGGCUUAUCAGAAUCGCCUCUUCUAAAUCAUUGGCAACCAUAUAACACAGUUCCUUAACAACACAAAGUCAAGUGAUACACACCCAGUCUCACACCUUGCAUACAGUCGUCUCCUGUGAGAAGAAAGAAAUUUUUAAAAUCCAAAGUCUCGCACUUCACAUCCAGACGUCCUCUUUGAGAAGUGAAGACAUUUUGAGUGAGAUCCGCUAUAUUCAAAGUGAUUUAAUUUGGUGUGCCCUGCAAGUUAGCUUCUUCCAAAUCGUUAGUCUAUGAGCUGUCUCAAUAUUGGAUGUGACACAAGGCUGUGCUGAUUAUUUCUAUAGAAAGGAAAAAUCAUUAAAGUCGUCCUUAUUUUCAAGGGUUUCUUCAAGGAUGUUGCCAAAAGUCAAUGGAUCAGUAUAAUUGGUGAACCCAUGUUAUAAACAAUACUGUAUAUUUCAAACUGCUUUUUCUGUGAACAGAGAGGGAAGACGCGAAAACUUUCUAAACUGGAGGGCGCAACGGUGUCUCGGCGACCCAGCACGGCCUGGUGAAACUAUUAAAACAAUAAAAUACUUCAUGUACUGCAGAUGUCAAGAAUUUACCUCUACUCAAAUUCAAAAAGGCAACAAAGAGAGUUUUAAUCAAUGCUUGUUUGUUCAAAGUACAAGAA